rnacentral:rRNA from 1 species
AACGAACGCUGGCGGCAUGCCUAACACAUGCAAGUCGAACGAGACCUUCGGGUCUAGUGGCGCACGGGUGCGUAACGCGUGGGAACCUGCCCUUAGGUUCGGAAUAACUCCCCGAAAGGGGUGCUAAUACCGGAUAAUGUCUUCGGACCAAAGAUUUAUCGCCUUUGGAUGGGCCCGCGUUGGAUUAGCUAGUUGGUAGGGUAAAAGCCUACCAAGGCGACGAUCCAUAGCUGGUCUGAGAGGAUGAUCAGCCACACUGGGACUGAGACACGGCCCAGACUCAUACGGGAGGCAGCAGUGGGGAAUAUUGGACAAUGGGCGAAAGCCUGAUCAAGCAAUGCCGCGUGAGUGAUGAAGGCAUUAGGGUUGUAAAGCUCUUUUACCCGGGAUGAUAAUGACAGUACCGGGAGAAUAAGCUCCGGCUAACUCCGUG